rnacentral:rRNA from 1 species
AUUGAACGCUGGCGGCAGGCCUAACACAUGCAAGUCGAACGAGUGGCGGACGGGUGAGUAAUGUCUGGGAACCUGCCCGAUGGAGGGGGAUAACUACUGGAAAGGGUAGCUAAUACCGCAUACCAUCGGAUCUGCCCAGAUGGGAUUAGCUAGUAGGUGGGGUAAAGGCUCACCUAGGCAACGCUCCCUAGCUGGUCUGAGAGGAUGACCAGCCACACUGGAACUGAGACACGGUCCAGACUCCUACGGGAGGCAGCAGUGGGGAAUAUUGCACAAUGGGCGAAAGCCUGAUGCAGCCAUGCCGCGUGUAUGAAGAAGGCCUUCGGGUUGUAAAGUACUUUCGGCGUGGAGGCGUUACCCGCAGAAGAAGCACCGGCUAACUCCGUGCCAGCAGCCGCGGUAAUAC